AAACACAGAUCAUGCUCAUUUGUCAUUGACCUUAGAGUGCCGGCGUGUCUGGCACUGAGAGCAGAUGUUCAGACUAGCCAUAGAGGCCCCCAUCCUUCCCCCUUUCCACGUGCAUAUGCACACACGCAUACACAACCCCUUCCUCUUCUAGAAGUGCAGAGCCAGUGAAGCUUGUAUCCAGGACCUGAAAAUACAGAAGCAUGGCUGUUGUGUGGUGAAUGGAUGGCAGGGGUCUCAGCUACUGCCACCACCAGGACGGAUGUGGAUCGUUGCUCAAUCGAGGACACCUUUCAUGACUACAGGAGGGGGCUGGUGGGGAUGUGUUGGAUGGAAAGACCAAGUUGGGAAUGACAGGUGUGGCAGCUGUCUCCUCACUGAAGUCUGGAAAAUCAGGGAAUGUUGAAGAAUUAUUAGAAUUUACUCUGGUUUUGUGGUCCAUGGUGGAUGGUACAUGGUGGCGGUUAAUCCCAGACCUGAGAGUCCCCUGCCUGGCGAGAGUCUGGCUUUGCCUCUUACCUGCAGCACGAGCUUUGUGUCUCAGUUGCUGCAUCUGCAAAAUGAUAGCAACUCACUCACGGGAUUUUGUUUUUAUUGUGGUAAAAUAUACAUGCGAUAAAUUUACUGUCUUACCCUCUUUUAAGUGUAUUGCUUAAUGGUAUUAAAUACAUUUAUAAUGUUGUGCUACUGUCACCACUGCCCAUCUCCAGAACUCUUUUCACCUUGUAAAACUGAAACUCUGUACCCAUUAAACAAUUCCCCCUUCUCCCCUCUCCCCAGCCCCUGGCAACCAUGAUUCUACUUUCUGUCUCUGUUAAUUUGACUACUCUGGAUACCUCAUAUAAGUGUAAUCAUACAGUAUUUGUCUUUCUAUGACUGGCUAAUUUCACUCAGCAUAAUGUCUUCAAGGUUCAGCCAUGGUGUAGCAUGUGUCAGAAUUUCCUUCCUUUUUAGGGCUGAAUAAUAUUCCUUUGUAUGUGUAGACCACAUUUUGUUUAUCCAUGCAUCUGUUGUUGGACGCUUGGGUUGUUCCCACAUUUUGGCUAGUGUGAAUGAUGCUGCUGUGAACACGAGUGUAUAAACAUCUGAUCAAAUUGCUGCUUUCAUUUCUUUUGGGUGUGUACUCAGGAGUGGAAUUCCUAGGUCAUAUGGUAAUUUCUUUUUUAAUUUUCUGAGAAACUAUUAUACUGUUGUCCAUAGUGACUGCACCAUUUUACGUUCUCACCAGCAGUGCACAAGGGUUCCAGUUUCUCUACAUCUUUGCCAAUACUUGUUAUAUUCUGAGGUUUUUUUUAUUAUAGUUCUCCAGGUUUUAUUUGAAGGUUAGAUGAGAGAAUAUAUGAAAAGCACUUAGCAUAGAGCCUGGCUCCAUAAAUGGUAGCUGCUUUUGAUAUUUCAGAUUGUGCUUCUCAUUUUAUAGAAGUUAAGUAAGUGAUAA
rnacentral:lncRNA from 1 species